CAAGUGCUCAAACACUGUGCCGAUGAGAGCCAAGAAGCUCGAUACGGCCGUACUAUUUUUGAACCGUGAUAUGGGCAAGCUUGAGCUUGUCCCAUCCUACAGUUGGCAAUAGAAAAUCACAGGUGGAGACAAGCAGCUUGAUGAAAUCAGCUCAGGUGUGCACAGAGGACACUCAGGAGGUUCAAGGGUUCAAGAAUAUGGUGGUAUUGGGCACUGAUAUGCGUACGAUGGUAAAUUUUUUCUCUUGGUCUCAAUUUUUGUCCCCUUUUUCAGCACAUCAAGUUUCACACCUACACUGCUCAUAUACUGUAUGGAAGGAAAGAACCUCUUACCACCCUGUGAACAUGAACCUAAAUGCCAGCUCCCCAUACAGCAACUGAAACAUAGCAAGAACGAGGGAAAUAAAAUCUACUGACAUAAUGUAAUCAGCUUUUGUUUGACACGUUUAAUAUUUGUAUCAGAUUCACAAAGCCUUCAUGUACACAGGAGGAGAUAAAAAUGGUAAUACAUAAGUUGGCAUUAACCCCUAUUCUCCAUUUAGAAAUAGCAGAGUUGUACGUAACGCGUUACUAGUAAUUGCGUUACUUGUAAUCAAUUACUUUUUUCAGUAAUUUUUAACGUAAUCAGUUAAUUUUGUGAGCAAGUAAUUUUUCAAGCAAUCUGACCACAAUUUUCCGUAAUCUAUUACUGAGUAAUCGAUUACUUUUUUAACCUUCUGUCAACAAUGGCAACCCUUUUCAGCAAGCCAAUCUGUUCUUCUGUUCCACCACGAGUUCAACUGAAGCAAUGACGCAGAGGUCACUGUGACGGCUGUCUCUAGUCCACACGUAUUCCAUGCACACCACAGUAAUAUGACAAUCCCUUACAAGCGCGACCUACUGCUGGAGCAACAGUAAAAUACUGACUAUAUUGAUAAAUUGUGCGGGCUGAACAUAACAAUAGUAACAAGACGAAGCCGAUGUUUCGACGCCUAUACGGGCGUCCAUGUUGUGUGCAUAUAUAUGUACAUGUGUAUAUAAAUCUGUAAUAAACGCCUGUACGUGUUUUCUAUGUUGCUUUCAAAUGUA